AGACGGGGGGUGCUAGCGUUGUUCGGAAUUACUGGGCGUAAAGGGCGCGUAGGCGGCUCUGCGAGUCGGGCGUGAAAUCCCGGGGCUCAACCCCGGAACGGCGCUCGAUACUGCGGGGCUGGAGACCGGAAGAGGAGGGUGGAAUUCCCAGUGUAGAGGUGAAAUUCGUAGAUAUUGGGAGGAACGCCGGUGGCGAAAGCGGCUCUCUGGUCCGGUUCUGACGCUGAGGCGCGAAAGCGUGGGGAGCAAACAGGAUUAGAAACCCUAGUAGUCC
rnacentral:rRNA from 1 species